rnacentral:lncRNA from 1 species
AAAAAAAGAGAAAAAGAAAGAAAGAGAACGGGAAUGAGCCUGAAUGGUCUGAGAAAUUUAUGUAUCUGUCUUGACAUGCAUAAUGUAUCAAGUGUUUCGUUAGGCUUUUUAUCUCUGAGGAGUAUCUGUUUUUUUCCUCUCCCAUCUGGUCUGAAAAGACGUGAAAAGACCACUCCCUGUGGAUGAUGGCUUAUCCUCUGAUGAGAGUGGUGACACGAAUAUCUAUUAGGAGUCACCUUUGGCUAAGUACUGUCAUGACUAUAGAAUAUCUUAUAGGACCACAGUGGUUGGUACGAUCGUGGUCAUAGAUCGUAAUAUAGUUUGGCAAGCUGAAAAUGUGCCUGAGUA